rnacentral:rRNA from 1 species
AGUGAACGCUGGCGGUAGGCCUAACACAUGCAAGUCGAACGGCAGCACAGUAAGAGCUUGCUCUUACGGGUGGCGAGUGGCGGACGGGUGCGGAAUACCUCGGAAUCUACUUUUUCGUGGGGGAUAACGAAGGGAAACUUACGCUAAUACCGCAUACGACCUACGGGUGAAAGAAGGGGAUCUUCGGACCUUGCGCGAUUCAAUGAGCCGAUGCCGGAUUAGCUAGUUGGCGGGGUAAAGGCCCACCAAGGCGACGGUCCGUAGCUGGUCUGAGAGGAUGAUCAGCCACACUGGAACUGAGACACGGUCCAGACUCCUACGGGAGGCAGCAGUGGGGAAUAUUGGACAAUGGGCGCAAGCCUGAUCCAGCCAUACCGCGUGGGUGAAGAAGGCCUUCGGGUUGUAAAGCCCUUUUGUUGGGAAAGAAAAGCAGCAGGUUAAUACCCCGCUGUUCUGACGGUACCCAAAGAAUAAGCACCGGCUAACUUCGUG